rnacentral:misc_RNA from 1 species
UUUCCGUAGGUGAACCUGCGGAAGGAUCAUUAUUGUAUAACCGAGGUGCGAGGGCUGUCGCUGACCCGAAAGGUCGUGCACGCCCGAGUGCCCUCACACACAUCCAUCUCACCCCUAUGUGCACCACCGCGUGGGUCCCCCUUUGGCUUGUUCGGAGGGGGGCUUACGUUUUCACACAAACUUGUAUGCAGUGUAGAAUGUAUUUUUUGUUUUUGCGAUCACGCAAUCAAUACAACUUUCAACAACGGAUCUCUUGGCUCUCGCAUCGAUGAAGACGCAGC